rnacentral:rRNA from 1 species
AUACGGAGGGUGCAAGCGUUAAUCGGAAUUACUGGGCGUAAAGAGUACGUAGGCGGUUUGUUAAGUUAGAUGUGAAAGCCCCGGGCUUAACCUGGGAACUGCAUUUAAAACUGGCAAACUAGAGUUGGCUAGAGGGAAGUGGAAUUUCAGGUGUAGCGGUGAAAUGCGUAGAGAUCUGAAGGAACACCAGUGGCGAAGGCGACUUCCUGGACUCAAACUGACGCUGAGGUACGAAAGCGUGGGUAGCAAACGGGAUUAGAAACCCCAGUAGUCC